rnacentral:rRNA from 1 species
GACGAACGCUGGCGGCGUGCUUAACACAUGCAAGUCGAACGGAAAGGCCCUGCUUUUGUGGGGUGCUCGAGUGGCGAACGGGUGAGUAACACGUGAGUAACCUGCCCUUGACUUUGGGAUAACUUCAGGAAACUGGGGCUAAUACCGGAUAGGAGCUCCUGCUGCAUGGUGGGGGUUGGAAAGUUUCGGCGGUUGGGGAUGGACUCGCGGCUUAUCAGCUUGUUGGUGGGGUAGUGGCUUACCAAGGCUUUGACGGGUAGCCGGCCUGAGAGGGUGACCGGCCACAUUGGGACUGAGAUACGGCCCAGACUCCUACGGGAGGCAGCAGUGGGGAAUAUUGCACAAUGGGCGGAAGCCUGAUGCAGCAACGCCGCGUGCGGGAUGACGGCCUUCGGGUUGUAAACCGCUUUCGCCUGUGACGAAGCGUGAGUGACGGUAAUGGGUAAAGAAGCACCGGCUAACUACGUGCCAGCAGCCGCGGUGAUACGUAGGGUGCGAGCGUUGUCCGGAUUUAUUGGGCGUAAAGGGCUCGUAGGUGGUUGAUCGCGUCGGAAGUGUAAUCUUGGGGCUUAACCCUGAGCGUGCUUUCGAUACGGGUUGACUUGAGGAAGGUAGGGGAGAAUGGAAUUCCUGGUGGAGCGGUGGAAUGCGCAGAUAUCAGGAGGAACACCAGUGGCGAAGGCGGUUCUCUGGGCCUUUCCUGACGCUGAGGAGCGAAAGCGUGGGGAGCGAACAGGCUUAGAUACCCUGGUAGACCACGCUGUAAACGGUGGGUACUAGGUGUGGGGUCCAUUCCACGGGUUCCGUGCCGUAGCUAACGCUUUAAGUACCCCGCCUGGGGAGUACGGCCGCAAGGCUAAAACUCAAAGGAAUUGACGGGGCCCCGCACAAGCGGCGGAGCAUGCGGAUUAAUUCGAUGCAACGCGUAGAACCUUACCUGGGUUUGACAUGGAUCGGGAGUGCUCAGAGAUGGGUGUGCCUCUUUUGGGGUCGGUUCACAGGUGGUGCAUGGCUGUCGUCAGCUCGUGUCGUGAGAUGUUGGGUUAAGUCCCGCAACGAGCGCAACCCUUGUUCACUGUUGCCAGCACGUUAUGGUGGGGACUCAGUGGAGACCGCCGGGGUCAACUCGGAGGAAGGUGGGGAUGACGUCAAGUCAUCAUGCCCCUUAUGUCCAGGGCUUCACGCAUGCUACAAUGGCUGGUACAGAGAGUGGCGAGCCUGUGAGGGUGAGCGAAUCUCGGAAAGCCGGUCUCAGUUCGGAUUGGGGUCUGCAACUCGACCUCAUGAAGUCGGAGUCGCUAGUAAUCGCAGAUCAGCAACGCUGCGGUGAAUACGUUCCCGGGGCU